rnacentral:rRNA from 1 species
UGGUAAUACCGGAUGCUCCGCUCCAUCGCAUGGUGGGGUGGGAAAUGCUUUUGCGGCAUGGGAUGGGGUCGCGUCCUAUCAGCUUGUUGGCGGGGUGAUGGCCCACCAAGGCGUUGACGGGUAGCCGGCCUGAGAGGGUGACCGGCCACAUUGGGACUGAGAUACGGCCCAGACUCCUACGGGAGGCAGCAGUGGGGAAUAUUGCACAAUGGGCGCAAGCCUGAUGCAGCGACGCCGCGUGCGGGAUGGAGGCCUUCGGGUUGUAAACCGCUUUUGUUCAAGGGCAAGGCACGGUUUCGGCCGUGUUGAGUGGAUUGUUCGAAUAAGCACCGGCUAACUACGUGCCAGCAGCCGCGGUAAUACGUAGGGUGCGAGCGUUAUCCGGAUUUAUUGGGCGUAAAGGGCUCGUAGGCGGUUCGUCGCGUCCGGUGUGAAAGUCCAUCGCCUAACGGUGGAUCUGCGCCGGGUACGGGCGGGCUGGAGUGCGGUAGGGGAGACUGGAAUUCCCGGUGUAACGGUGGAAUGUGUAGAUAUCGAAAAAAAACACC